ensembl:lncRNA
CCUCCAGCUCAGAGGAUAAAGUCGGAUCAACAUCACAUCCCUUCUGGUAUCCAUGGGCUCGAGAAGGAUACAGACACUUCCUUUCUGCUCUUCUGAAGUUACUGAUGGGUGCUUCUGGCUGUGGCCUUGGAAAGUCAUAGGAGGAUUUACUGAAAGUUUUGCAGGGAUGCAGUGAAGGAAACAAUCUUUGAGGAAGAUUGUUAUGGAAAAUUAAUCUACAUAUCAGAAAUGCUGUGCUGGUUAAUAUCAAACAGACCUAAAGAUCUGGCGCCCCAGUCCAGGAUUAACACAGCAGCCUCUUUUCAGUCGAACGACUGGUUAAACUCUAUGAAAUCAGGCAAUGAGAUUACAGGGCUUGACUUUCCCAAAAGCGCUUACACAGUCUGCUUUAGAUUCCCACCUCUGUCCCUUUGUCCCGGACGGCCUCUGCAGUCACCGGUGGCCUCGGCUCUUUACCAAACCAGACUCUCGGUGUUAAACAGCGGCCUAACAUAGAACAUGUGUUCCUGUGUUGACAACUGCACUUGACGGAGGUGGAGGCGGAGGCUUGUGGGAACGACAACGUGAGACGGGGGAAUUGAAGUCUCGCAGAUCUGUCACAAAACCAGGGGCUUUGUUUGGGAUUUGGAUCCGCUGUUCGGAGAUCAGCACUUGGCACGGAGGGUCUGCCGCACUCGUCAGCUGUUGAUUAUUGACAGUGUCUCGAGGUGUCAUCAAAAUGAGAGACAUCUGUGUAGAGUAGACGAGCGGUUUGAUGCAUGUUGACGUGAAUGAAUAUUAAUGCAUGGCCAUAAACAAUAAUGAUAUGGGUGAGAGAGAAACAUCAUGAAACAAGGGAAAAGGAGACGGUCUGUUUAGCUCGUCUCUGGUUUUGGCCUGGAGUCGCCACUGUCGACUGUUCAGCUUUGGCUCGGCUUGCUGCGGAGACUUGGGAUGUUUAAUAUCAAACUGGAAAGAUGCAUCUGCAUUUAAUACCCACUUAUGUUCUUCUUAAAGGGACAGUUCACCCAAAAAUUAAAAUUCUGUCAUUUACUCCAAAACUGUAUGUUUCUUUCUCUUGUUGAACACAGAAGAAGAUAUUUUGAAGAAUGUUGGUAACCAAAUAGUUGCUGGUAGCCAUAGACUUCCACAGAGGAAAAACAAUACUAUGGAAGUCAAUGGCUAACGUCAACUAUUUGACACCACAUGCUGGUUUGGAACAACAUGAGGGUGAG